rnacentral:lncRNA from 1 species
AAAAAAAAAACCCAAGGAACUUUGAAGAGACUAAAGGCUACAUUCUAAGGCAUUUCAGACUCCAAUGGUUUAUAAACAUCUCUGUAUUCUAUUGCAUUUUUUGUUUAAGAUAUAACUUUGUGAUUUUAAGUUCAUAUAUUACUGGAUUCAAUAUUAUUCUGUGAACUGAAGGUUGAUUGAAUUUAUUUUGAAUGUACUGAGUUUUAAAAUUCUGUUGUUUUUCCCCUAUAACUGUGUUGAACAAAUAUUAUUGUGAAUAAGCCCAUAUAUGAAAAAACAGCUUUUUUCUAUUUUGCUGAGGAUAGAUGGACUUCAGAACUGGUUAUAAUUGUAUUAACAACCUUGGAAAAUUUAAUGUGCUAAAUACCUCAAAUGAUUUGAUUUUAAGGGUUUUUUAAAUAUGAUUGUUGGAAUUUUUUUUAACAAUCUGGUUAUUUUGCCUGCCCCUACCACGAGGUAAGGCCCAUUCUAGUAGCUGAAGUGAAAUGUAUUUUAUAAACCCCAACCUUCCCACAUGUGAAUGGAAGUUGGGCAGUUAAUUUCAGGGCAUUUGUACCCUUAAAAAGCCUUCAAAAGGAGCACCCCUUUAUUUAUACUCUUCAGCUCACUACUUUACUUGCACCAGAAUGAUAUCUAGAUUUCUUGAUUAUGUUCUUAACCCAAGAUGAGUUUUACUUUGUUUAAAAAAAAAUAUGUUUAUUACCAAGGUUGAAAGAUUGCUCUGUUUGUAAAAAUUGUGACAAAUGUCCAUCAAUUCAUAGGUUUUAAAAAUGUCAUACAGCAACUUAUGUGAAAUAUGAAAGUGUGUUUGUUUGCUAUUGUAAUUAAUUGGGCUAUUGAGAAUUUUGGGGAUUGUGAUAUCUACAUAUUUGUACUACUGUAUUUUUAGAGAUGAAAAAAUUGUUAACCUUGUUCAAUUCAUUUGCCUUCUACUCACAGUGAUCAUGGCCAGAUACAAAGAGGAAAUGGAUCUCAUUUUUUGGAAUGUUGUUGAUACCAGAGAGUGGAGAUGCCAAGAUCUGAGUGGGGGAUUCCCUUUCUUCACAGGGAGUUCUCGAAUCUACUCCCUGGACAAACCUCUCCCUGUUCUUCUCAUCAGGGACUGUAAGGGGAAAAAACCGAAUUCAGCCAAGCGCAGUAUACAUUUAUAACAAUACUAAUUAUUAUUCUAUUAUCAAUUUUCUCCUAUGCUGGAGCCUGAAGAAGACAAUAGAAUACAGAUGGACAACUAAAGCUGAGAAUAAAUGGGACAAAUAAAGAACA